rnacentral:tRNA from 1 species
GGGGCUGUGGCUCAGGGGUAGAGCGCUCGCCUAGCAUGUGCGAGGCCCUGGGUUCAAUCCUCAGCACCA